CCAUUGGACGACGAGGAGAUUGUCGCAUACAUCUUGGCAGGCCUUGAUGAAGAAUACGACCCGGUGGUCUCGGUGAUCACUGGGCGCACUGAAGCAGUGACGAUCGCCGACGCAUACACUCAACUCCUCAGCUUUGAGG
rfam:Oryza glaberrima chromosome 10 Oglab10_0071_3, whole genome shotgun sequence.